UACGUAGGGGGCAAGCGUUGUCCGGAUUUAUUGGGCGUAAAGAGCGUGUAGGCGGCCAUUCAGGUCAGCUGUGAAAACUCGAGGCUCAACCUCGAGACGUCGGUUGAAACCGUUUGGCUAGAGUCCGGAAGAGGAGAGUGGAAUUCCCGGUGUAGCGGUGAAAUGCGCAGAUAUCGGGAAGAACACCCGUGGCGAAGGCGGCUCUCUGGGACGGUACUGACGCGUGAGACGCGGAAAAGCGUGGGGAGCGAACAGG
rnacentral:rRNA from 1 species